ensembl:lncRNA
GAUCGAUCCAGGCCUCGGGCCCAACACUGGUUCCCAAUACCACGCUCUGGGUGAGUCUCCACCUUCUCUGCGCUUCCUCGCCCGGGGCCGUCAAAGGAGCGCCUUCACCCAGAACCAUUUUCCACAAUGAGACUGUCAGCAAGGUGGAGAGAGGACGGCGUGAACACAGAGGAGUUAGAUCAUCCGGACAGAGACACCCCUGGAAGCGGCACAGGAACCCGGAAGGGACCCUGUGUCCAGCGUCACACCUCCCCCUGGACAGGGAGGUGGACGUUCUGGCCCCGGAGGCCCCCGCCUGAGCACCUGCCCUCUCUCUCCACCCGCUGCUCUGACGGCUCCAGCCUCAGCCCGCCCACCAAGGGCUGCCGGGGCCACGGCCCAGCUGUGGGGGCUCUGCUGUGUGUGGCUGCUGCGCUGUGCUUGAAUCAGAAGGGGCCGCAUGAACCGAGGACGUGUGUGAUCUGAACAGGGCACUCUGCUCCACUGGAAGGUUCAGGAGAAUGACCGAGCCCGUCGCCAGCGUGAAGACUGCUGUGCUGAAAUACACUCCUCACACCUUAACCAGGCCUGGCUUCCCUAGCGAAACUGGGCUGGAAAUGAAGACUGUGUGUCUGAAACCUCUGUGAUCCCAGAAAGCAGGGGGAUAACCAAGAAGGACUAUUCAGUCUCGCCUUUAGAAUGAGGCAGGGACUAGAGAGGACGCCCGAGAAUAGACUAGAGACGGGGGACACCAGGAUUUCAAGGGGAUUGCUACAGGCCAAAUUCACAUCUGUGUGUCCGCCAUCACCCGCCAAUAGCAGCAUAAUGACACCCAAAGCCGGAGCUUAGUGUACCUGGAAGAGGC